GUAGAUUAAGCCAUGCAUGUCUAAGUAUAAGCAAUUUAUACGGUGAAACUGCGAAUGGCUCAUUAUAUCAGUUAUAGUCUACUUGAUAGUUCCUUACUACUUGGAUACCCGUAGUAAUUCUAGAGCUAAUACAUGCUAGAAAACCCAACUGCUUGUCGGACGGGUUGCAUUUAUUAGAUUGAAACCAAUGCAGCUUUGCUGGAAUUGAGUUGAGUCAUAAUAACUGUGCGGAUCGUGUUUUCGGACGCGAUGAAUCAAUUGAGUUUCUGCCCUAUCAGCUUUGGAUGGUAGAAUAUGGGUCUACCAUGGCAUUGACGGGUAACGGGGAAUUAGGGUUUGAUUCCGGAGAGGGAGCCUUAGAAACGGCUACCACAUCCAAGGAAGGCAGCAGGCGCGUAAAUUACCCAAUCCUAAUUCAGGGAGGUAGUGACAAUAAAUAACUAUGACGGGCUUUUUUAAGUCUGUCAAUAGGAAUGAGAACAAUUUAAAUCCCUUAGCGAGGAUCAAUUGGAGGGCAAGUCUGGUGCCAGCAGCCGCGGUAAUUCCAGCUCCAAUAGCGUAUAUUAAAGUUGUUGCAGUUAAAAAGCUCGUAGUUGAAUAUCUGUUUCUAGUGUCCGGUCCGUCAAUGAUGUGUACUAGUGAUGCUGGAUUCAUAUUUUGUGAGGCUGUAUGCUGGCAUUAAUUUGUUGGUGUAUUGGGCUUGCAUCGUUUACUGUGAAAAAAUUAGAGUGUUUAAAGCAGGCGUUCGCUUUUGAAUACAUUAGCAUGGAAUAAUAAGAUAUGACUUGUGUGGUCUAUUU
rnacentral:rRNA from 1 species